UUUUUCCUAAAAUCAAUUUCUGUUGAAGAAGUAACGAUGGAAGCGAUUAUAUUUGUUUGCUCGUCAUGAUCACUGAAUACUUUCACAUUGAAUCCCUGUCUAAUUGAGAAGAUUAAGUAAUAAAUAUGCCAAUAUACAUACAGACAUAUCUAUUAUUAUCUGCGAUUUUGAAAGAGUUGCGCCGCUACACUUAAUGCACUGCAUUCCAUCAAUUUCAUUCAAUAGAAGCCGUUAUUAAUUGCAUCCUGUAUCUUCGUCUACUCAUUCUUACGUAUUCUCUGAGCUGCCUAUUCUAGGAAGAAACCCAUAAAUACUACUUUAUUCACACAAACUACACCAUGAGAUAUUCACAUUAUCUCCACUCCGAUUUCUCUCCCUCUCUCUCUCUCUCUUUUUAUGUGCAACAAUCGACACGAUCAAUCUCAUUUUACAUACAUAUGCAUGAAGCGGGGGUGGAUUCUACAAACGCUGUCAGAUUUCAACUAAAUAUAUUAUGCUCUGGAUUGUUUUUACGCCUACAAAAUGAAAACAAAAAGAUAAUAAAAAAACGGAAAAAAAUUAAAAGAAAACUGCCGAUCGUGGUUUGACAAUUGAGGCGUCGUGGGUUUGCGUAUACAGAUACAAUACAGAUAUCUAUACAUCUAAGUGUGGGUGUAUCUGUGUAAGAAGAGCAAAAAAAAAUAAAAUAAAUAAAUAAAUAAAAAAUAAACUAUUCAAACGUCACUCGAAUCAAUUGUUGAGCGAACGUGAGCGUAAUUGUGACUUGAGACAGCGUUGAUUCGUAUUCAAAGACAUACAUACAUACAUAUAUACAAACAUACAUAUAUACAAACAUACAUAUAUACAAACAUACAUAUAUAUGUUCAUAUGCGCAUAUUCGUAUCUUGUGAUUUUCCAAUGUUUAAGUGCAGCAGUGAUCGCCGUCAACCAAUGCAUACAAGUCGGAAAUCGAGAUAGCAGCGGCAUAAGAGUUUUAGCUAAUGCUACAAAAGAGAGUUGUUGUAAAAUUUGUAAAAAUUUUACAUUAGCAGCGGCUAGACGACAACAGGUCUUGAGAGGUGUCUAACAAACAUAAAAAAUAUAUAUACAAUAGUUAUUGGGAAAAAUA